rnacentral:tRNA from 1 species
GGGGCUAUAGUUAAUAAUAACAUUUGAGUUGCAUUCAAAAAGUACUAUCCAUAAUAGUUAGUCUCA